rnacentral:rRNA from 1 species
GGGUAAACCUGCGAAACUCGAAUGAACGAACGGAGAGAUUCAUCGUCAUUCCGCGGCGCGUCGUGCGUCGUUUCGAUACUGUCCCCCUCGGGGGUCGGUACGGACGACGUCGACAGCGUCCACGGACGGCGUGCACUUCUCUCUUAGUAAGACAUCGCGACCCGUUCGAUGUACGUCUACGCCCCGCACGGGAGCCCGGCGGCACUCGCUGCCGUCGGACCGUACGGCGGCCGACCUACUGUCGGACGGUAUAAAGAUUUGAAUCGCGCACGCGCUUCGGCGCGUCCGGCACGACGCAAUAUGUCGCCGCACUGCGGUCCUGCCUCGCGGCGGUUCGCGGUGCGGUUGUGUAUGUUGUCGCAGCCGUUUGGUCUCGGACUGUGCGCGUCUCGGUCUGCGAUGAUUCAGUUUCGGGCACUCGCAGGACCCGUCUUGAAACACGGACCAAGGAGUCUAGCAUGUGUGCGAGUCAUUAAGAUUUGAAAACUGAAAGGCGCAACGAAAGUGAAGGUGUGUGCUCGCCACGCGCUCAGGGAGGAUGGGGUGCGAUCUCGGUCGUACUCUCGCACUGCCCGAGGCGUCUCGUUUCCAAUUUGUGAAUGCAGCGCGCUCUGAGCACAGAUGCUGGGACCGAAAG